UGGACAGCAAUGUCGUCUUCAAAUCCUCAGGCAAGAAGGGAGGUGUCUUGUUGGAGUCUGAACGGGAAAGGCUACGACACUGAGCUUUCCCAGAUGUGCUGAAUCCCAGCUAGCCAUCAACUAGAAUGUAAGAAUUACCAAAACAGGUAAGACUGUUGGAUGAAUACAAACUUCCUACUCAGCAUAGGAACAGGCGUUUGCCUCUAUAAGUAUGGAUCUAGAGAAGAGCCCUUGACUAACAUGAGGAAGAAGGAAACAGCAUAUUUUCAACCAGGAAAUACUCAAAGCUUGGUGUUUGCAAAAUGUUUGUUAAAGGCAUGAACUGAGGAGCCAGGUUGCAUGGAUUUUAUCUGUCACUUUAAAAGUAUGGGACCUUAGGCAAGUUCCAUAAGUUCCCUGCAGUUAGUUUCUUUGACUAUUCACCAAGAAGGGUUGUAAUGACGCCUCCUCCCCGGAAUCUCUAUGGAGAUUUAAUUAGUUAAUAAUUACAAAACACCUGGAACUGUGCACACACAAGUUCUGCAUAAGGAUUUAUUCAUAAGUUAUUUGUCCGGUACUAGCUAGUGUACCAGACUCUGGGGUGUGUCAUUCAUGUUUGCUUAUUAAAGAAAGUAUACAGCCG
rnacentral:lncRNA from 1 species